AUAAGCUAUUAAGGGCUAAUGGUGGAUGCCUAGACUGUAAGAGGCGAAGAAAGACGUAUUAGGCUGCGAUAAGCCACGGGGAGCUGCCAAAGAGCUUUGAUCCGUGGAUUUCUGAAUGGGGCAACCCAAUAUAAUGAGAAUUAUAUUACCCUACGGGGAGCAAACCUAGUGAAGUGAAACAUCUCAGUAGCUAGAGGAAGAGAAAUCAAAAGAGAUUCCGUAAGUAGCGGCGAGCGAACGCGGAUUAGGACAAACCCAAUGCUUGCAUUGGGGGUUGUAGGACCAUGAUAUAAGAUUAAAGAGGAUAGAUGAAAUACUUGGAAAAGUGUAGCAUAGAAGGUGAAACUCCUGUAAUUAAAAUUCUCAAUAACUUUAAUGGUAUCCUGAGUAGGUCGGAACACGUGAUAUUUUGACUGAAGCUGGGGGGACCACCCUCCAAUCCUAAAUACUACUUACAGAUCGAUAGUGAACAAGUACCGUGAGGGAAAGGUGAAAAGUACUGCAGCGAGCAGAGUGAAAUAGAACCUGAAACCAUUAGCUUACAAUCAUUCAGAGCCCUAUGAUUUAUCAGGGUGAUGGACUGCCUUUUGCAUAAUGAGCCUGCGAGUUGUGGUGUCUGGCAAGGUUAAGCCAAGUGCGAAGCCGUAGCGAAAGCGAGUCUUAAUAGGGCGACAUAGUCAGAUGCUGCAGACCCGAAACGAAGUGAUCUAUCCAUGAGCAGGUUGAAGCUGGUGUAAGAGCCAGUGGAGGACCGAACCCGCUGACGUUGAAAAGUCUUGGGAUGACUUGUGGAUAGGGGUGAAAGGCCAAUCAAACUUCGUGAUAGCUGGUUCUCUCCGAAAUAUAUUUAGGUAUAGCCUUGUGUUGUAGCAUAUAGGGGUAGAGCACUGAAUGGGCUAGGGCUGCUUACCGCGGUACCAAACCCUAUCAAACUAUGAAUACUAUAUGUGGAAUCACAGGAGUCAGGCGGUGGGUGAUAAAAUCCGUCGUCGAGAGGGGAACAACCCAGACUAACAGCUAAGGUCCCUAAGUUACAUCUAAGUGGAAAACGAUGUGGAGUUACUGUGACAACCAGGAGGUUGGCUUAGAAGCAGCCAUCCUUUAAAGAAAGCGUAACAGCUCACUGGUCUAGUGAUUCUGCGCGGAAAAUAUAACGGGGCUAAGAUGUACACCGAAGCUUUAGAUUCAAUUUUAAUUGAGUGGUAGGAGAGCGUUCUAUUCAGCGUUGAAGGUAUACCGGUAAGGAGUGCUGGAGCGGAUAGAAGUGAGCAUGCAGGCAUGAGUAGCGUUAAAAGGGGUGAGAAUCCCCUUCGCCGAAAACCCAAGGUUUCCUACGCGAUGCUCGUCAUCGUAGGGUUAGUCGGGUCCUAAGUCGAGUCCGAAAGGGGUAGACGAUGGCAAAUUGGUUAAUAUUCCAAUACCAACAUAUAAGCGCGAUGUGGGGACGCAUAGAGUUAAUCGAGGUCACGGAUGGAAGUGUGGCUCGAAGGAUGUAGGUUGUUAAGUAGGCAAAUCCGCUUAACGUUAGACCGAGAUCUUACAGGCUCUUGACACUCUUCGGAGGAGAUGGAGAAUCGAUGAUACUGUCGUGCCAAGAAAAGCCACUAAGUAUAUUAUAUGUUGCCCGUACCGUAAACCGACACAGGUGGGUGGGAUGAGUAUUCUAAGGCGCGUGGAAGAACCCUCUUUAAGGAACUCUGCAAACUAGCACCGUAUCUUCGGUAUAAGGUGUGCCUACUUUGGUAUAUGAACUUGCUUCAAAAAGCUAAAGAGGUUGCAACAAAGAGUCCCUCCCGACUGUUUACCAAAAACACAGCACUUUGCUAACACGUAAGUGGAUGUAUAAGGUGUGACGCCUGCCCGGUGCUCGAAGGUUAAUUGAUGAUGUCAGCUCACGCGAAGCAUUUGAUCGAAGCCCGAGUAAACGGCGGCCGUAACUAUAACGGUCCUAAGGUAGCGAAAUUCCUUGUCAGUUAAAUACUGACCUGCAUGAAUGGCGUAACGAGAUGGGAGCUGUCUCAAAGAGGGAUCCAGUGAAAUUGUAGUGGAGGUGAAAAUUCCUCCUACCCGCGGAAAGACGGAAAGACCCCGUGCACCUUUACUACAGCUUGACACUGUAGCUUGGAUAUUCAUGUGCAGGAUAGGUGGGAGGCUAUGAUGACUAGACGCCAGUAGAGUCGGAGCCAUCCUUGAGAUACCACCCUUGAAUAUUUGAGUUACUAACUGCGAAGAGUUAUCCUCUUUCAGGACAAUGUCUGGUGGGUAGUUUGACUGGGGCGGUCGCCUCCUAAAUAGUAACGGAGGCUUACAAAGGUUAGUUCAAAGCGGUUGGAAAUCGCUUGUUGAGUAUAAUGGCAUAAACUAGCUUGACUGUGAGACCAACAAGUCGAACAGAGACGAAAGUCGGUCAUAGUGAUCCGGUGGUUCUGCGUGGAAGGGCCAUCGCUCAAAGGAUAAAAGGUACGCCGGGGAUAACAGGCUGAUCUCCCCCAAGAGCUCACAUCGACGGGGAGGUUUGGCACCUCGAUGUCGGCUCAUCGCAUCCUGGGGCUGUAGUCGGUCCCAAGGGUAUGGCUGUUCGCCAUUUAAAGCGGUACGCGAGCUGGGUUCAGAACGUCGUGAGACAGUUCGGUCCCUAUCUUCCGUGGGCGUAGGAAAGUUGAAGAGAUUUGUCCCUAGUACGAGAGGACCGGGAUGAACCAACCACUGGUGUACCAAUUGUUCUGCCAAGAGCAUCGUUGGGUAGCCACGUUGGGAUGUGAUAAGAGCUGAAAGCAUCUAAGCUCGAAGCCAACUCUAAGAUGAACUUUCCCUGAAGUUCCCAGCAAGACUAGCUGGUUGAUAGGCUGGGUGUGUAAUGGGUGUAAGCCCUUUAGCUGACCAGUACUAAUAGAACGUUUGGCUUAUUUUA
rnacentral:rRNA from 2 species